UUUGUUUGUUUUUUAAGGCUGUGCACAUAUUUCCUGUAUUUCCUUGUUGUAUGUGAAGGAAAGAGAAUGAGAAGUAAAUAAGUGUGAGCACAAAAACCCUGCA